rnacentral:rRNA from 1 species
AAUGAACGCUGGCGGCAGGCCUAACACAUGCAAGUCGAGCGAGUGGCGGACGGGUGAGUAAUGUAUGGGAAACUGCCUGAUGGCGGGGGAUAACUACUGGAAACGGUAGCUAAUACCGCAUACCAUCAGAUGAUCCCAUAUGGGAUUAGCUGGUAGGUGGGGUACCGGCUCACCUAGGCCACGAUCCCUAGCUGGUCUGAGAGGAUGAUCAGCCACACUGGGACUGAGACACGGCCCAGACUCCUACGGGAGGCAGCAGUGGGGAAUAUUGCACAAUGGGAGCAAGCCUGAUGCAGCCAUGCCGCGUGUAUGAAGAAGGCCUUCGGGUUGUAAAGUACUUUCAGUCGGGAGGCGUUACCGACAGAAGAAGCACCGGCUAACUCCGUGCCAGCAGCCGCGGUAAUAC